rnacentral:rRNA from 1 species
GGACCUACGGGACGCAGCAGUCGGGAAUAUUGCACAAUGGAGGAAACUCUGAUGCAGUGACACCGCGUAUAGGAAGAAGGUUUUCGGAUUGUAAACUAUUUUAGACAGGGAAGAAAAAAGACAGUACCUGUAGAAUAAGCUCCGGCUAACUACGUGCCAGCAGCCGCGGUAAUACGUAGGGAGCAAGCGUUAUCCGGAUUCAUUGGGUUUAAAGGGUGCGUAGGUUGUUUUAUAAGUUAGCGGUGAAAUACCGAUGCUCAACAUCGGGGCUGCCGCUAAUACUGUAGGACUAGAGAUCGGAUGCA